GACGAACGCUGGCGGCGUGCUUAACACAUGCAAGUCGAACGGAAAGGCCUUUUCGGAGGUACUCGAGUGGCGAACGGGUGAGUAACACGUGGGUGAUCUGCCCUGCACUCUGGGAUAAGCCUGGGAAACUGGGUCUAAUACCGGAUAGGACCGCACUUUAGUGUGUGUGGUGGAAAGUUUUUUCGGUGUAGGAUGAGCCCGCGGCCUAUCAGCUUGUUGGUGGGGUAAUGGCCUACCAAGGCGGCGACGGGUAGCCGGACUGAGAGGUUGGUCGGCCGCAUUGGGACUGAGAUACGGCCCAGACUCCUACGGGAGGCAGCAGUGGGGAAUAUUGCACAAUGGGCGCAAGCCUGAUGCAGCGACGCCGCGUGGGGGAUGACGGCCUUCGGGUUGUAAACUCCUUUCGCCAGGGGCGAAGCGUUUUGUGACGGUACCUGGAGAAGAAGCACCGGCUAACUACGUG
rnacentral:rRNA from 1 species